AGAGUCGUACGGUGAGGGCCUAGCCAGCCACACCGGCUCCGAGUCUUGCGGAUGUGGCCGUAAGGCCAUGUACGAAGCGUAGACAGGAGGAACUACAGGCCAGGCUAUUGAGCCGCGAAAUAUCCCUAACUUCAGGACGCCGACGCCUUGACACAACGCGGAAGGCAACAUCCUGACAAGCAGUAUGGCGAGCUUGGCAGGAGUCCUGCGCGGUCUAUGACCC
rfam:Acidobacterium capsulatum ATCC 51196, complete genome.